CUCUGUUCUCAAAGCGCUUCCUUCAAGUCUCUAUUCUGGCAUUUAUCACACUAAACUAUGAUGAGUUCUUUAAGUCUCUUCAAGUCUCCUUCCACAGACUGUGAACUCCCUGAAGAUAGGGAUCACAUUUUAUUCAUCUUUGCAGCCUAGAGGAGCCCAAAACAGUAUCUGGCAAAUAUUAGGCAUUAAUGUUUACUAUCACGGCCCACGACUGCUGAGAACGUUCAUUCCCCCCGCUACCUCUUAAUGUCCUAGUAUGUUUAUUCAUUAAUUAACUCAUUUAUUCUUAGAACAAAUACUCAUCACACAAUGUGAGCCUAAUACAAAGCUAGGUGCUGCGAGUACCUGCGGAAUAAAACAGACAUGGUCUCUAGCCUCAGCUCUCAUAAUCUAAUACAGGAUACAAUAAACUGUUAAACGUUUAUAAACAACAUUCUCUAAGACGUCUCAGUCAAUUCUACAGCUUUAAAUACGAUCUUGGGUCAUUAACUCCCAAAUUUAUAUUUAAGCCCAGAUUUUGCCAACAUGCUUUAGACUCACAUAUUCAACUGCCUUCUCAACAUUUUCAACUGAAUGUCUACCAGGCACCUCACACUUAACAUGGCCAACCAGAACCCUUGAUAUUCCCCACUAAAUCCUCUUCUUUCCCAGUCUUCCCUAUCUCAGUAACUGUCCCAAUCAUUCACUCAGUUGUUCAAGCUAUGCUCAGUUUGUCUCUUCCUCCAUCCCUCCACAAUCAAGCAUCAAGUCCCACCGCUUCUAGCUUUAGAAAAUAUCAGUCAACCACAAUCUUUAAUAGUAGAGGUCACCAUCAUCUCUUACCUGGACUAACUGGUAACCCUAUACUUCUCUUCUCCCAUCCCCAUCCAAUUUCCACACAUUAGCCAGAGUGAUCUUUCUAAAAUAUUAUUCAAAGAACCACAAUUAAAAUCGACUGUAUUUAGAAUAAAAUCUAAACUUCUUACCUCAGCCUCCAAAACUGUCUAUGACCUGGUCCCCCUCCAUACUCUCCAUCCUCCUCUCAUACCAUUCUCCCUCUUUUGAUGUUCGCUACCCUGGCCUUCUUUAUAUCCACACCGUGAGGCAUUUGCACUUGCUAUUCCCCGGAUGUUUCCCUGCUCUUCCCAAAACUGGCUCUUUUUUUGCAUUCAGGUCUCAGCUCAAAUGUCACCUCAGGAGGACUUUGCUGACUGCCUCUCAUAUACCCCACCCCAGUCACCGACACAACACCUUGUUUCAUUUUCCUGACAGCACUUAUCACCAUUUGAAACUAUACUGUUCAUUUGUCUGACUCAUCCCUCUAAAAUGCAGGCUCCAUGAGAGUAGAACACUAAGAAAUACUUUUACCACAAAAACGCGGGUAUAUGGGAAAGGGGAGAUCUAAUGUAGUUUAACCUGCCAGGAAAAGCCUCCCCAAAGUAAUGUAAAUGGAUGACAAUGAAUUAACCACAUAAAGGAAGGUGGGAAAAGUGAAGAUUCCAAGCAGAGAGAACAAUGGUGAAAGGUCAGGAGGUGACAGAUAGGGUGGCACAUCCCAGUAAAUGCAGUUUAGUAUGGUUAAAGCACAGAGUUGGAAAGAGAGAGGAAACUGGAAACAAGCACAGGCCAGAUCACACAAGACUCUUCAGGAUUCUGGUCAUUAUCCUAAGGGCAAUAGAGCUCUUCAAAGAUUUUAAGAAGCUUCCUAUAAUGUGUUUUGCAAAUAAGGAAGGGAGCAAGCAAAAGAACCAGGUCAUCAAGAAAGAAGAGUUUCAAAAGCCAAGACUGUCAACAGUGCCAAAUGCUUCAAAGAAAUCUAACAGGACAAGAACUUCAAAAAGUCCCUGGGUUUGGCAAUUAGGAGAUUAUUGGUGACCAUUAUUAGUUGAGAUUUUUUCUUGCAAGAAAAAGAAAAUUUAAUUCAAAUUGGCUUUAAAAUAAAGGAAAUCUAUAAGUA